CCGANUUUACAACUCCCAAACCCCUGUGAACAUACCUUAAUGUUGCCUCGGCGGAUCAGCCCGCGCCCCGUAAAACGGGACGGCCCGCCAGAGGACCCAAACUCUAAUGUUUCUUAUUGUAACUUCUGAGUAAAACAAACAAAUAAAUCAAAACUUUCAACAACGGAUCUCUUGGUUCUGGCAUCGAUGAAGAACGCAGCAAAAUGCGAUAAGUAAUGUGAAUUGCAGAAUUCAGUGAAUCAUCGAAUCUUUGAACGCACAUUGCGCCCGCUGGUAUUCCGGCGGGCAUGCCUGUUCGAGCGUCAUUUCAACCCUCAAGCCCCCGGGUUUGGUGUUGGGGAUCGGCUCUGCCCUCCUGGGCGGUGCCGCCCCCGAAAUACAUUGGCGGUCUCGCUGCAGCCUCCAUUGCGUAGUAGCUAACACCUCGCAACUGGAACGCGGCGCGGCCAUGCCGUAAAACCCCAACUUCUGAAUGUUGACCUCGGAUCAGGUAGGAAUACCCGCUGAACUUAAGCAUAUCAA
rnacentral:rRNA from 1 species